CCAGAGGUCAGCCAUGGAACACAAAUCCUGGACCCUCUGGUGAUUCUUCCAAAGGACAUGAAGGUGAAAAUCGGAAUGUACGAGACGAGAGUUACAUAUAUCAGGAGCAGAGAGUGCAGCCGUGUCCUUUAAGUUCGUCGAUCUACUAUGGCGGACAAGAUGUAUCCCUAGUCCCCAGAGCCAGGGAUCUGGAUUGAACCCUGUGUACAAGAAAGAUGGUGGAGAAGAUGAUUCGGGGAGUGCAACAAGAGGAAACUGGUGGGAAGGGUCUCCAUAUUACUAAGAGCUCGUUUUCCUCUCAACAUACUCAUAUCAAGGUACCAUUAGUCAGAUAUCCAUAGUCACAUGAGUUUUAUACCGAUCAUAUCAUGCGAUCAUAAUUCAUAUCAAGAAUAA